CCUCAGGUGAUCCCCCCUCCUCGGCUUCCCAAAGUGCUGGGAUUACAGGCGUGAGCCACCGCGCCCGGCCCAUUCUGUCUUACUGCCGAGUAUUCUAGAGCCAUCUUACGGCUGCAGGGAAUGUGAACUGAAGAGAAAGGUGUCCUGUCUCUUAUCAUAAAGAGAUCCAAAGACGAAUGCCCCGCAGACACGACAACUGAUCAGCAUUGAUGUUAAAGAAGAGAAGAUCCUAAGACUGACAGAAUGGACUUUUUGUGUCAAUAAGAUAUCAAAAACAAGACCCCAGGCCAUGCCAGGUAAGAGUUAAGUCAUAUAUCCCCACACUUAAAUAAUAAACUGUGUUCUAACUGCCCCAGGGUUUUUCCUUUUCUAUAACAGCUAAACCAUCACUGGCCUAGAGAUAAGCAAUAUUAAAACAACCGUAGCUCACCAUCAGACACUGAGUAACUGAUCUUUGUUCCACCAGCUUUGAUUGGAUAAGAGACUGAUUUCAGUAACUUUCUCCUGAUAAGACCGCCAACCAUGGACUGAUUCUGGGAAGCUUGCAGAGGCUGCACACUUGCAUGACUUCAUGUAUUCAAAAGAGCUUUUGACGUAUAGGACCUAAUUAUAAUACAUUUAAGUAUUAAAUCUCCACUCCAAAGUGAA